rnacentral:rRNA from 1 species
UACGGAGGGUGCAAGCGUUGUUCGGAAUUAUUGGGCGUAAAGGGCGUGUAGGUGGCUUUCCAAGUCUGGUGUGAAAUCCCACGGCUCAACCGUGGAACUGCAUUGGAAACUGGUGAGCUCGAGUGUUGGAGGGGGUCGCGGAAUUCCCGGUGUAGAGGUGAAAUUCGUAGAUAUCGGGAGGAACACCAGUGGCGAAGGCGGCGACCUGGCCAAUCACUGACACUGAGACGCGAAAGCGUGGGGAGCAAACAGG